AGAGGGUGCAAGCGUUAAUCGGAGUUACUGGGCGUAAAGGGCGCGUAGGCGGUCUAUUAAGUGAGAUGUGAAAUCCCUGGGCUUAACCUAGGAACUGCAUCUUAUACUGGAAGACUGGAGUACUGUAGAGGGUAGUGGAAUUUCCGGUGUAGCGGUGAAAUGCGUAGAGAUCGGAAGGAACACCAGUGGCGAAGGCGGCUACCUGGACAGAUACUGACGCUGAGGCGCGAGAGCGUGGGGAGCAAACAGGAUUAGAUACCCUGGUAGUCCACGCUGUAAACGAUGAGAACUAGAUGUUGGGCAGCUUGACUGUUUAGUAUCGAAGCUAACGCKAUAAGUUCUCCGCCUGGGGAGUACGGCCGCAAGGUUA
rnacentral:rRNA from 1 species